AUCUGGGUUAUUACUGCCCAAACUGGUUAGUGAACCUUUUCUUAGUUUGAUUAUUUUUAACAACUUUUUGACAACUGAAAAAAAGGACAUGAGUCAUAACCACAAGAUAGAGAGAGAUUCUAGAUGACUUAGAUCACAGGAAGCUCCAUCACAAAAGUUUGUCACUGCACUCACACAUGGAGCUCAGAAAUAAACAAUGACUGUAACUCCUAAAACUAAUAAAAAGUUUAAUGCAUUAAAUCAAUCUGAGAUCUGAACAUGAUCUGUCAUUCCUUUUUGGAUUUGCUGAAGUACGAGAACACAUACACAACCAUCAAACCAAUAUUUAUUUCAGCAUCAUCAAACAAAUGGCACCAAAUGUCACAGUUAAAACCUUUGAGAAACAUUUAACAAUACGUGGGGUCUUAUGAGGCUAAGCGAGCAUUUUCCUUCCCAGAUGGAUUUAUAGAAUAAAUAAACUUCACAGAGAGCGCUGAAUCGAGUAGAAAUUAAGCAGUGUUUUGUUCAAAGGUGAAUGCCAUUUAGUUUGUGAGGAGGGGCAAUGCCACCUGCUGCAUCUGGGCCCAGCGCCAAGUGGAAAUGACUCACUGUCCACGCUACGGAUGGUUAACCGGCGGCCAUUAACACAUUAAACACACUGAAGGAGGCCGGCACACGCACAUACAGGCCAUUAACACAUUAAACACUCCACUACGUAUGCGGACGUCCACGCAAUUGUUUUUUUCCUCUUUCUAUCAUCAGCCCAGUGACUCAUAGUGACAUUCAUAAUCCUCUCCUUCCCGUGACAUCAGCAACCCUCUGGGAUCUAUUGAUUAAAAAUCAGAGCUCCUGAAAUACAAAAACACAAUGCAGAGGGUCUCAUGUGUCCUCAGGAGAGGGGUUAAUAAUGGAGGGACUGGAGCACUGGUUCUCAACUGCUGGACAAAUUCGUCUGUCAGCUGGUAGAAGCUAGUUACAGGGAAAAUUUGAAAAUUCUGUCAUCAUGUACUCACCCUUGGUGACAUUCUUCUGUGGAACAUGAGAGAAGAUAUCUCGAAGAACGGUGUUAACCGAACAUUUUUGAUGACUAUCUCAGUAAUAUUUCUCAAAAUAUGUUUUUUUGUUUUCCCCAGAAGAAAGGAAGUGCAGGUUUGGAGCAACAUGAGGGUGACAAAAUGAUGACAGAAUAAGCAUUUUUUGGGGGACCUUUAAAUCAAGCAGAUGGGUCAAUGACAUGGCACUCAGUAUUAAUUUAUUCAAAAUGCAAUUCAUAAAUGAUAAGAAAUAUGAAUUUCUUGUAAAAGAAACUCUUGUUAAGUUAAGUAGUGGCAGAAUCUUUAUCAUUAUUUCUUAGGGAGAAAAAAAUAACUCUACAAGCAUGGACUCUACAAGACCCCUGAAGGUGUCCCGUGGUAUCUGGCAACAAUAGCAGCAGAUCUUUCAAGUCCUGUAGGUUGCGAGGUGGAGCCACUGUGGAUCGAACUUGUUGGUCCAGCACAUCCCACAGAUGCUCAAAUGGAUUGAGGUAUGUGGAAUUUGGAGGCCAGGGCAACACCUUAAUUUCUUCAUCAUGUUCCUCAAACCAUCCCUGAACAAUGUGUGCAUUAUCCUGCUGAAAGAGGCCACUUCCACGAACGAACAGCAUUGUCAUGAAGGGAUGGACCUGGUCUGCAACAAUGUUUAGUGCAUCCUGGUGCCAUCACUUCCUCGGGUAAACAGCGCACACGUACACAGCCAUCCACGUGAUGUCAUCGUGACUCAUCAGACCAGGCAACCUUCUUCCACUGCUCCAAGGUCCAGUUCAGACACUUGUGUGGCCAUUAAAGGCACUUUCGAGGGUGGACAGGGGUCAUCAUAGGCUCUGAUUGGUCUGCGGCUAUGCAGCAGAGUGUUGUGACACAUUCUUUCCAUAACCAUCAUUAAAAUUUUACCAGAUAGCCUUCAUUGCUUUCGUGCUUUGGGCGCCCAACAUCCUGUUGCCAGUUUGUGGUUUGUCCUGUUGGUAAAUUCUCACCACUGCUGACCGGAAGCAACCCACAAGUCUUGCUAUAACAAUUUGGAACUUGUCAAAGUCACUCAGAUCUUUAUUCCUGCCCAUUUCUUUUGCAUCCAACACAUUGAUUACAAGAAAGCAUUGAAAGCAAGUCACUCAAGCAGGGAGAAACAAGCGUAUGUACACUUCUGAUCACUUCUGAUGAUGUACUGUAAAUAAAAUGCAAUUUUAAUGAUCUCUGUUAUACUAUUUCCCUUAAAAAGGAUAACUAUGCUUUUUCAGCAAGGGGAAUUUAAACUUAAAUGGAUAGUUCACCCAAAAAUGCAAAUUGUGUCAUCAUUUAUUCCCCCUCAAGUUGUUCCAAACCUGUAUAAAUUCUGCUUUACACAAAGGAAGAUAUUUGGAAGAAUUUUUGUAGGAAGUAGGAAAGUAUAAUACUAUGGUAAUCAAAGGGGACGAGAUCUGCUUGAUUACAAACAUUCUUCCAAAUAUCUUCCUUUGUGUUCAGCAGAACAAAAAAAUGUAUACAGGUUUGGAACAACUUGAGGGGGGAGUAAAUGAUGACAGAAUUUUCAUUUUUUUUAUCCCUUUAAUAGUACUGCAUAUUAAAUUACUGGUGGUCCACAUGCUCUUCUGAAAGUCAGAUCUCAAAUUGCUCCAGUGGUACUGUAGCUCUCAGCACACCCUCUCUGUGUGUAAUCAGUUUGCUAUCAUUAAUAGAAGUUGCCAACUGACCUACCUGGUUCACAGUGACCUUGGUGCUUUUUUUGCAACAUGCCACUUUCUCCAGCUUAUCACUCACUGUUUACCACAGAGCAGCACUCUGUGGCCUUUAAGAUGACCCUAAAUUACACUGAUUUACUUUGAAACAAUAUUCACUAAGAAAUUGUUAGUAAAUUUCACAAAUAAUUACAAAGAAACGGCACUUACUCCAAUAAUCUUUAUUUACGACUUUGAAAAAUUAUUUUUUUUACAAUGUAAGUUUUUUUGGAUGGUAAAGACCACUCUGUACAUAAAAUUCAGCAUUUGUUUUUGCUUCGGCUGAAUCACAAGAUGCCCCAUUCAUACAAACUCAAAAUUUUAAAUUUAAUUAGAAAAAAGUAAAAAAACAAGCAUUUUCACCAGUGGUCUUAGAGUUUUGGACCCCACUGUAUGUGUGGAAAUCAGUCAUCGUUCAGCAUCUGUUCAGCAGAUGAUACCGAGGGGUCACAUGGUGUCACUAAGAUUGUUGAAAGAGGGCAAAUGACACCCAGCUCAUGACCUCUGCCUCCUGCUUUUGCCACCCAUCCAUCCUGUCCUGUCACGCUGCGGUCAGACCAGACAGCUCAAUGACAGAGGACAGCUGAAAAAAAAAGAAAAUAAAUUUUUGCCCUCAAAUCUGCUGCUUCUGCUAAACAGAGAGAGCAACAACAACAUCCACCUCAUGUGUGAAAUACCGUUUGCAAUGGGGAUGACGUGUAUACUGAGAGCAGGGGUAAUGUGCCAGGACCAGUUCACCACGACCUAUAAUAUCAAUGUGUGCUGCCAAGAGCAAAGGAGCAUGAAGGCCUUAAAACAAAUAGACAGUGCCUUUAUCAAUAAUUACUGAAAUAAUGGAAGUGUACAUACUGUAUCUACUUUCGAUCUAUAUAUAGAAUGUGUUAGUAGAAUAUAAGAACAAAGGCAAUUUACCGUAUUUACAAAUCCAUAAAGUUCCCACAGCUUUAGAUCACUGAAUGAUGUUUCUAGUAAUUCAUGAUUAAUAUUUAAAAAAAAUAUUUUGGAUCACAGGAGCAGAUUCCCCAUGUAUAAAGCACAUAUAUAUUUCAGUAUAUAUAAUAUAUAAUUAAUAAAACAAGCUGUUAACAAGUACAUUUACAUUAUUAAAUGUAAAAAAAAUCUAUUGUUAGUUCAUGGUACCUAAUGCAACAACUAAUAUCACAUAGAAACCGUAGUGUUACCAUUCAAACACUUACAUUACUGUUCAAAUGUUUGGGGUCAAUAAGAUUUUUUUUUAUUUUUUUUUUAAUGUUUUUGAAAGAAGUCUCUUCUGCUUAUCAAAGUGAUGUCAAAGCUGAAUUUUUAGCAUCAUUACUCCAGUCUUCUGUGUCACAUGAUCCUUCAGAAAUCAUUCUAAUAUGCUGAUUUGCUGCUCAAGAAAAAAUUAUUAUUAGCAAUGUUAAAAACAGUUGCGCUGCUUAAUGUUUUGUUAACUGAUGCAUUUUUGUCAGAUUUCUUAUGAAUAGAACGCUCAAAAAAGCAUUCAUUUGAAAUAGAAAUCUUCUGUAACAUAAAUGUCACUUCUGAUCAAUUUAAUGCAUCCUCGCCGAAUAAAAGAAUUCAUUUCUUUAAAAAAAAAAAAAAAAAGAAAAAAAAAAAAAAAAAAAAAAGACUGACCCCAAACUUUUGAUCGACAGUGUUUAUAUUUUAAUGUACAAAUGUCUCAGCUUGGACAAAAUUCAUCCUACGGUUUGAAUGUGGCUCAAUGGAGGAUUCAGCUUUCAGUCCUAUGUGAGCAUAAAUAUGAAAAUUAUAUUUACUACAGAAACAUCCAUGGCUUUUCUCUGUCAUUAAAGAAGUUUAGUGAUUUUUAGGUCUGGAAAUUUUGAUAUUGAAAUUCGCUGACAUAUCCAGAUCUUCUAUGACUGUGGGAAACCUACAUUCAAAUGAAGACGUCUGAUCCACCUGAACUAUGACCUCCACUGUAAGUGUUGAAAGCCUUUUAUAUGAGUCAGUAAGAAAAGACUUGACAAUAAAAGCUUUUGUUUUAUUCAGUUCACUUUUUGUAACAUCUUUAUUGAAUUUGUGUGGUAUUUUAAACAUAUUUACAAUUAUUGUUUUGUUUUUUUUCUUCAGUAAAAAUACAAAUACAGAACACAGCAUUUUCAAAACCCACCCAGCAACACCAGGGAAGAGUGCUGGCCUGGGCUUCACUCACCAUUAGUCAAAGUCAUGUCACUGGGAGAAAAGAAAAUGACACAUACAGGAGUAGCAAGACACCACUGCUGCCAUCUAGAGGGGAGGAGAGGACGCGUCUCCUUCAGGCUGGGAUGAGUGGUUUAGAAACUGAAGAACUGAAAUGACAGGAUACAAAGAGAAAGACCCUUCAGUGGGGCCUGUCGAUGACCCCCAGCAUCCUAUUAAUGGUGCUCAAGUCUUUUUGAAAAACUGAUUCCCAAACAGAUUCUUCAUGACCUAAGAUGGGAAAAUAAUUAACUUCCCCUUCUCCGAUCAACUACAUGAAAUAUUCUGUGGAUGUGCCAUUUUACACAAUAGAAGAUUACAACAUACAAACAAACAACCAAACAUGAGUCAGAGAGCAUAAGGCUGAGCACGUCUUCCAAACAGACUGAAUUAAUAUUCAUUAAAGGUCAAAUAAAACAAACAAAAAAAAAAUUAAA